UACGAAGGGGGCUAGCGUUGCUCGGAAUUACUGGGCGGAAAGCGCACGUAGGCGGCUUUUUAAGUCGGAGGUGAAAUCCUGGAGCUCAACUCCAGAACUGCCUUCGAUACUGAAGAGCUCGAGUCCGGGAGAGGUGAGUGGAACUGCGAGUGUAGAGGUGAAAUUCGUAGAUAUUCGCAAGAACACCAGUGGCGAAGGCGGCUCACUGGCCCGGUACUGAUGCUGAGGUGCGAAAGCGUGGGGAGCAAACAGG
rnacentral:rRNA from 1 species